UACGUAGGGUGCGAGCGUUAAUCGGAAUUACUGGGCGUAAAGUGUGCGCAGGCGGCCGCGCAAGUCGAGUGUGAAAGCCCCGGGCUUAACCUGGGAAUGGCCGUUGAAACUGGCGAACUGGAGUGUGGCAGAGGGGGGUGGAAUUCCGCGUGUAGCAGUGAAAUGCGUAGAGAUGCGGAGGAACACCGAUGGCGAAGGCAGCCCCCUGGGCUAACACUGACGCUCAGGCACGAAAGCGUGGGGAGCAAACAGG
rnacentral:rRNA from 1 species